rnacentral:rRNA from 1 species
AUUAUACCGUGAAACUGCGAAUGGCUCAUUAAAUCAGUUAUCGUUUAUUUGAUAAUACCUUACUACUUGGAUAACCGUGGUAAUUCUAGAGCUAAUACAUGCUGAAAAUCCCGACUUCGGAAGGGAUGUGUUUAUUAGAUAAAAAACCAAUGCCCUUCGGGGCUCCUUGGUGAUUCAUAAUAACUUUACGGAUCGCAUAGCCUUGCGCUGGCGACGGUUCAUUCAAAUUUCUGCCCUAUCAACUUUCGAUGGUAAGGUAUUGGCUUACCAUGGUUUCAACGGGUAACGGGGAAUUAGGGUUCGAUUCCGGAGAGGGAGCCUGAGAAACGGCUACCACAUCCAAGGAAGGCAGCAGGCGCGCAAAUUACCCAAUCCCGAUUCGGGGAGGUAGUGACAAUAAAUACUGAUACAGGGCUCUUUUGGGUCUUGUAAUUGGAAUGAGUACAAUUUAAACCUCUUAACGAGGAACAAUUGGAGGGCAAGUCUGGUGCCAGCAGCCGCGGUAAUUCCAGCUCCAAUAGCGUAUAUUAAAGUUGUUGCAGUUAAAAAGCUCGUAGUUGAAACUUGGGUCUGGCUGGCGGGUCCGCCUCACCGCGUGCACUCGUCCGGCCGGGCCUUCCUUCUGAAGAACCUCAUGCCCUUUACUGGGCGUGUUGGGGAAUCAGGACUUUUACUUUGAAAAAAUUAGAGUGUUCAAAGCAGGCCUUUGCUCGAAUACGUUAGCAUGGAAUAAUAAAAUAGGGCGUGCGUUUCUAUUUUGUUGGUUUCUAGAGACGCCGCAAUGAUUAACAGGAACAGUCGGGGGCAUCAGUAUUCAGUUGUCAGAGGUGAAAUUCUUGGAUUUACUGAAGACUAACUACUGCGAAAGCAUUUGCCAAGGAUGUUUUCAUUAAUCAGUGAACGAAAGUUAGGGGAUCGAAGACGAUCAGAUACCGUCGUAGUCUUAACCGUAAACUAUGCCGACUAGGGAUCGGGCGAUGUUCUUUUUCUGACUCGCUCGGCACCUUACGAGAAAUCAAAGUUUUUGGGUUCUGGGGGGAUUAUGGUCGCAAGGCUGAAACUUAAAGAAAUUGACGGAAGGUCACCACCAGGCGUGGAGCCUGCGGCUUAAUUUGACUCAACACGGGGAAACUCACCAGGUUCAGAUGAAAUAAGGAUUGACAGAUUGAGAGCUCUUUCUUGAUUUUUCAGGUGGUGGUGCAUGGCCGUUCUUAGUUCGUGGGGUGACUUGUCUGCUUAAUUGCGAUAACGAGCGAGACCUUACUCUGCUAAAUAGCCAGGCUAGCUUUGGCUGGUCGCCGGCUUCUUAGAGAGACUAUCAACUCAAGUUGAUGGAAGUUUGAGGCAAUAACAGGUCUGUGAUGCCCUUAGAUAUUCUGGGCCGCACGCGCGCUACACUGACAGAGCCAACGAGUUCUUUCCCUUGGCCGAAAGGUCUGGGUAAUCUUGUUAAACUCUGUCGUGCUGGGGAUAAAGCAUUGCAAUUAUUGCUUUUCAACGAGGAAUGCCUAGUAAGCGCGUGUCAUCAGCAUGCGUUGAUUACGUCCCUGACCUUUGUACACACCGCCCGUCGCUACUACCGAUUGAAUGGCUCAGUGAGGCCUUCGGACUGGCUCGGGGAGGUUGGCAACGACCACCCCAAGCCGGAAAGUU